rnacentral:rRNA from 1 species
AUUGAACGCUGGCGGCAUGCCUUACACAUGCAAGUCGAACGGGAUCAUUGGAGUAGCAAUACAACGAUGGUCUAGUGGCGAGCGGGUGCGUAACACGUGGAUACAUUCCGGGAAGCGGGGGAUAGCCCAGGGAAACUUGGAUUAAUACCGCAUGUGAUCGAGAGAUCAAAGACGGGGACCGCAAGGCCUGUCACUUCCCGAUUGGUUCGCGGCCUAUCAGCUAGUUGGCGGGGUAAAGGCCCACCAAGGCUACGACGGGUAGCUGGUCUUAGAGGACGACCAGCCGCACUGGAGCCAGGACACGGUCCAGGAACCUACGGGUCGCAGCAGUCGAGGAUCUUUCACAAUGGGGGCAACCCUGAUGGAGCGACGGCGCGGGGAGGAUAAAGUCUUCGGAUUGUAAACUCCUGUCAUGUGAGAACAAGGUUGCACGGUUAAUGCCUUUGCGAAUUGAUGGUAUCACAAGAGGAAGAGACGGCUAACUCUGUGCCAGCCGCCGCAGUAAAAC